rnacentral:rRNA from 1 species
GUGAACGCUGGCGGUCGGCCUCACCCCUGCAGGUCGAACGGCAGCACAGUAAGAGCUUGCUCUUACGGGUGGCGAGUGGCGGACGGGUGAGGAAUACAUCGGAAUCUACUUUUUCGUGGGGGAUAACGUAGGGAAACUUACGCUAAUACCGCAUACGACCUACGGGUGAAAGCAGGGGAUCUUCGGACCUUGCGCGAUUGAAUGAGCCGAUGUCGGAUUAGCUAGUUGGCGGGGUAAAGGCCCACCAAGGCGACGAUCCGUAGCUGGUCUGAGAGGAUGAUCAGCCACACUGGAACUGAGACACGGUCCAGACUCCUACGGGAGGCAGCAGUGGGGAAUAUUGGACAAUGGGCGCAAGCCUGAUCCAGCCAUACCGCGUGGGUGAAGAAGGCCUUCGGGUUGUAAAGCCCUUUUGUUGGGAAAGAAAAGCAGCAGGUUAAUACCCCGCUGUUCUGACGGUACCCAAAGAAUAAGCACCGGCUAACUUCGUG